AUCGAACGCUGGCGGCAGGCCUAACACAUGCAAGUCGAGCGGGGUUUUCGGACCUAGCGGCGGACGGGUGAGUAAUGCGUAGGAAGCUACCCGAUAGAGGGGGAUACCAGUUGGAAACGACUGUUAAUACCGCAUAAUGUCUACGGACCAAAGUGUGGGACCUUCGGGCCACAUGCUAUCGGAUGCGCCUACGUGGGAUUAGCUAGUUGGUGAGGUAAUGGCUCACCAAGGCGACGAUCCCUAGCUGGUUUGAGAGGAUGAUCAGCCACACUGGAACUGAGACACGGUACAGACUCCUACGGGAGGCAGCAGUGGGGAAUAUUGGACAAUGGGCGCAAGCCUGAUCCAGCCAUGCCGCGUGUGUGAAGAAGGCCUUCGGGUUGUAGAGCACUUUCAGUAGGGAGGAAGCGUUGUGUGUUAAUAGUACACAGCGUUGACGUUACCUACAGAAGAAGCACCGGCUAACUCUGUGCCAGCCGCCGCCGUAAAAC
rnacentral:rRNA from 1 species